GACGAACGCUGGCGGCGUGUCUAAUACAUGCAAGUAGAACGCACAGUUUAUACCGUAGCUUGCUACACCAUAGACUGUGAGUUGCGAACGGGUGAUUAACGCGUAGGUAACCUGCCUGGUAGCGGGGGAUAACUAUUGGAAACGAUAGCUAAUACCGCAUAAUAUUAAUUAUUGCAUGAUAAUUAAUUGAAAGGUGCAAUUGCACCACUACCAGAUGGACCUGCGUUGUAUUAGCUAGUAGGUGAGGUAACGGCUCACCUAGGCGACGAUACAUAGCCGACCCGAGGGGGUGAUCGGACAAAAUGGGAAUGAGACAAGGCCCAGAAUCCUACGGGAGGCAGCAGUAGGGAAGCUUCGGAAAUGGACGACAGUCUGACCGAGCAACGCCGCGUGAGUGAAGAAGGUCUUCGGAUCGUAAAGCUCUGUUGUAAGAGAAGAACGGGUGUGAGAGUGGAAAGUUCACACUGUGACGGUAUCUUACCAGAAAGGGACGGCUAACUACGUG
rnacentral:rRNA from 1 species